rnacentral:misc_RNA from 1 species
AAAAUGCGAUACGUAAUGCGAAUUGCAGAAUUCAGUGAAUCAUCAAAUCUUUGAACGCAAAUUGCGCUCUCGGGAUAGGCCUGGGAGCACGCCUCUUUGAGUAUCGACUCCAACACAACUCGAAAGCGUGCUUUUUGAUUUUAUCUCAAAGCUGCUUUCGGAAACUGAGUGUUCUCACGAAAGUGAGAUGCUUUAAAACGAGCGAGUGAAUUGGAGUCUGUCUGUUAGCAGACAUUGUCUCCGGUGACGAGGAUAACUUCACAUUCAGUUGUGAACCCUUCCAUCGUGACUGUCGAGCAGUGUUUCUUACAGAAAAGCCUCUGUGUAUUCACGGAUCUCUUUGUCUCGCUUGCGAAUCAAUGCAGGCGAACAGAGAACUUCUUUGAAUUAGAUCUCAAAU